rnacentral:lncRNA from 1 species
UUCAUGAAAUCAUGCUAUAUCAUGGUACUAGAAUUUCAUAAUCAAAAUUCUAUCUUAAUUUAAACAUGAAGUUUUAUAUAACAUGGAUUUCAGAACUUCCAAAUAAUCCAAAUAUGAAGGAGACUCUGAUACGGGCCGCUCCAUUGCCCCGACAGAACUCUAGACAACCUCAAUCAUCACAGCCUCUCAUCCUUUGAGAAGAAUGGGUUAGAUCUUAAACCCUAAACCCUUCUUCCUAUAUAUAAAAUUGCACGGUACAGACCUCAAGGUGCUUGCUGCAAGGCUGGAGGCGGGCAUGAAUUGGGGGAAGCCAGCAUGCUGCGCGGUUACUUGGUAUGUAAAUGUACUGACAUUAAACAAACAGUUCCUUAUGAUGAAUGGUGGUUUAGUUUACAAAAUGGAAAAGGAAAUCAUAGGAAGAGAGAGGG